UACGUAGGUCUCGAGCGUUAUCCGGAAUUACUGGGCGUAAAGCGUCUGUAGCCGGAUGUAUAAGUCUGUCUUUAAAGACUCUGAUUCAAUCGGAGGAAAGGGAUAGAUACUGUAUAUCUAGAGAAUUUUGGGGGUUAGUGGAAUUUCCGGUGGAGCGGUGAAAUGCGUUGAUAUCGGAAGGAAUGCCAAAAGCGAAAGCAGCUAACUACGAAACUUCUGACGGUCAGAGACGACAGCUUGGGGAGCAAACGGG
rnacentral:rRNA from 1 species